UACGUAGGGUGCGAGCGUUGUCCGGAAUUACUGGGCGUAAAGGGCGCGUAGGCGGCAUAUUAAGUCAUCUGUGAAAUCUCCGAGCUUAACUCGGAACUGUCAGCUGAUACUGAUGUGCUAGAGUGCGGAAGGGGCAAUCGGAAUUCUUGGUGUAGCGGUGAAAUGCGUAGAUAUCAAGAGGAACACCUGAGGUGAAGACGGGUUGCUGGGCCGACACUGACGCUGAGUGCGCGAAAGCCAGGGGAGCAAACGGG
rnacentral:rRNA from 1 species